ensembl:lncRNA
CUUCCUCCAAAUCCGUGAGAUUCAAAAGAGAUAGUGCUCUUUUGAUUGGCCUAAUGGCUCAUUUCAUGUCUGCAGCUCUCAGAAUGCUUCUAGAACAAUGUACACACAGCUGCCCACUGAACAGCUGUACACCAAGACAGAGAUACCAACGUGGGCAAGUGGCUCGGAUGCUCUGUGAAGUUCUAUUCCCGCAAGAUGGUGCAUGGGGCCAAAAUACCUUUCUCAUGAUCUAAUGGACUUGGGGAAAUGCUUCCUCUUGGUGAUUCACAGUGGACAUUUAUAUACUCACAGCUUUUAGAAAUCUGGCAUGAGUGAAACCUAUUUCCUUUUGAUUUAAAAGCAUUUCCUGUCUUUCUUUUUUAACCAUGGAGUUUUCCUGUCCUCCUCUUAUCCUCAAAGAAUACCUGUCCUUGGAACAAAGCUUGGCCUUUGCCCUCAGAUAUAUAAACAUAUAUCAAAAUAAAAACAAGAAAACAAGAUACAAAUAAAUAGCAAAAGUGCAUAGUCAUCUGCAAGUCAAGAAAACAUCUAUUUUCACAUUGGAGGUGGGUUGGGUAAUUAAGGUAUAUAUCAAUUCCUGUCCACCUAGGCAGCGAUCAUAUCUUUAGGCACUGUUUAGGUAGGGGCAGCAGUCCAAUGAUCAAUUUCAGAGGAACAAACAACUCUAAAACUAAGUGGUG